rnacentral:lncRNA from 1 species
GAGCCAGCAGAGCUCAGGCCACAGCACCUGCACCCGUUUUCUGCUGCUGCACACAAGGGCUCUGUGCAUUCCGCAUCCAGAGCCCCUCUUCUUGGGCCUGCGAUUCCUCACCUGGAAGGGAGAAGAGUGGACUUCCUGCCUAGAGAACACCUUGGUAAACUCUUUGUGGUUCCUGUCAUGAGAAGGUGUGCAGCUUAGGGAAAAAGCCUGUGAGCUCUGGAAUCAGAUGGAACUGGAUAUGAAUUUCCAUUUAGUGCUUGUUGGAUUAAAUGUGAUGCUACUUCUCCCAGCCGAAAGAAUAAAACUGGUAAGAGGAAGGGAAAUGCAGCCUCAGUAAGGAGGCCUCCAUUCUGGAAGGGCUUCCCAGGCCCAGAGAAGGGAGAAAGUAAUUUGGAACCACCCAAGUAUUGGUGAUGCCAGGCCUCACCCUACCCUGGGGAUAUUUGAAUCUCAAAAAGGGAGCAUGGGAAUCUGACAAAGCACUUGCAUGUAUAAAGAACUCCUCCAAAUCAACAAGGCAAAAACCUCAUUAGAUACAUAGGCAAAAACCUCAGAAGAGCCACAUCACAAAGGAGCACCUCCAAAUGGCCAAGAAGCAUAUGAAAAUAUGUUCAAUCUCAUUAGCCAACAGGGAAUUCAAAUUAGAACUACACCAGGAUGGCUGAAAGUGCAAAGACUGACAAUAUCAAGGGCUGGUGGGGAUGCAGAACAACUGGAACUCUCCUAUGCACUGCGGAAGGGGUAAAUUAAUACCGCCCCUUUGGAAGAACAGUUUAGAAGCAUCACUAAAGCUGAAUAUAUUCAUGCCUACUCCGGAAAUCCUGAGCCCAGUGGCUCCCUUUGAAGAACUGCCUUGGGGUUCAUGUUGCAGCAUCAAACAGGGAUGGAAGAUGCAUCUUGCUUUAGCAGCAGGAGCCUGGAAAGCAGCUGAAGCCCUGGAGGGUGCCUGGCACACAGAAUCUUGUGCUGAGCCCGGAGCACAAUGGGAGCGGGCUGGCGGGGUGGGUUCACAGCUGGACUGGGAGCAGCAGACAUACAGGCCGUAGGCACAGACAUAUAAAGACAGUCAUGCAGAUUGCAGGAUGCCUGAGAGCACAGACUCUCACAUGCACAAAUACGUGCAUGAUCGCCAGUGUGCAUCCAGACAGCCCCACAUGCAUGCACACGCAUGCACACAUGUGAUGUGUACAUAGAUGGACACAUGUCUAUGCCCACAAACACUGCAGAGACACAGAAGUGUCUGGCAAGGAACACUAUUUUGUCCUCAAUUUUCUGCCAGUGAGAGUCUACUGACUCCAUCUCUGAAAUGUCUCUACUUAUUGUCCCUCUUCUCCACCUGCACCACAUCCCUAGUCCCUGAAACUCCCACCGAGACCCCUGGGCAAUAGCAAAGUCUGCACAGGAUUCCUGCUCCGCCUCUACCCCACCCUUAAGCCCAUCCUACAUGCAAGAGCAGGAGUUAUCUGGGUAUCAAGCAAAUCUGACCACAUCACCUCCCCACUGCUUAAAACCCUUUCCUACAGGAUGAAGUUGAAAUCACUUGACAUCCCAUAUAAGGCCCUUGACUGUCUGGCAUCAGCCAUAGUCUGGCCUCAGGCCCUGGCAUGGAGUCCCCUGGACUCAGUGCUCUGGCUGAGGGCCUCCAGGAUGAAGAUACCCUGUGCAAAGCCUCACACUUUUGCUGUUGCUGGGCUCACUGUGUGAAAUUCCCUCCUCCCUCCUUCCACCUUCCCUAUGCUGAACUGCCACUCCUCCAUCCUCCAUGGCCAGCUAAGCCAACACCUCCCCACUUCCUCCUGACAACCCAGGCACAGCCACUGACCUGUCCCAUGGCUGUCACAGCCCUUUCUUGGGCUCUCAAUGGUAUCAUUGUCACCUGUGUGCUCAUGAGCCUCUGCCACUCAACUCCAAGCACAUCAAAUAAAGAGCUCAAAACAUAUCGGAUACUCAAC